rnacentral:lncRNA from 10 species
GCGCCAGCUGAGCCAGGUGGAGCCCUACUUUCCUCUCCUGCUUUCUGCCUGUGACUAGCGCCGUCCCCUACCGCCCGUCGACCCCACUUCCAUGUCUGGCGGACACAGCUCCCCGGAACCUCCACGCCCAUGGCCACUAGACAGAGGGAGUCUUCCUUCACCUCCUGCUUUUCCACCUGGAAUUGCGACGCGGGCGACGAGGGCGUGGGCUGCACCUGCGAAGAUGCUUCCUUGUGCAAGAAGCGCCUGUCGGGCGCGGGAUUCGGGGCUGGCAUCUGGGACGCGGGCUGAGGUGGGAGGCGGGCCUGCAUCUGAAGAAUACGCUCGGAGGCUGGCAGGUUGCUGCCCCCGCCUCGCACGACCCUCGCUUCCCACCUGUGAAAUGCACAGAACAGGGCUUCAUUUAUUUAACGAAUCGUUUCUGAGCUCCUGCUGUGAGCCAGGCUUGGAGCAAGCCUGGGUACUGUGGAUGGGAGCAGGCCCCUGAACCAGGCGGACGGGGUCUUGGCGUUCUCGGAGCUAAACGCUGCUAGAAAGACAAACAUGAUGCACCUAACUACUGUCUCCGUAGAUUAUGAGGAUGAGAGGUGGAGGUUCUCUCUCUUUUAGGUAUGAUCCCCGUUGUGCACCUGAAACUCAGGCGAUGACUUUCAGUGAAGGAAAUGACCUGUCUAGGGCCACAUAAUACCUGUUUGAAAAGCCAGUACCACACUAAGUCUCCACUAUUAAGGGUGUGAUGGUGAGGGUGGGGUCGUAGGGAGCACAGGUAUGUGUCAGAAAGAGAAAACAUGAGGCUUGAGUGUCCUCCAUUUAUUCACUCAUUCAUUCUACAAAAAUGGAGAGCUUACUUUGUGCCAGGGCCUUAUUUGGGCUGGUUGGUGGGGAUUCAGUAAUGGGAAUACACCAAGAACAAGACAGACGUGCUGCCAGACAUACUGGAACUCACGGUUUAGUUGGGAAAGACUGACAGGAAAUAAUUAUCCAUGAGAUACAUAAUUAAAAUUUGGUGUUGUGCACUGAGAAAUACCGCGGUGUCAUUAGAGUUUGUAAUUUAGUGAUAUUUAAGCUGAGAGCAAAAGGCUUAAAAAACAGGGGUGUAGGCCGGGCGCGGUGGCUCAUGCCUGUAGUCCCGGCACUUUAGAAGGCCGAGGUGGGCCGAUCACCUGAGGUCAGGAGUUUGGGACCAGCCUGGUCAACAUGGUGAAACCUCGUCUCUAAUAAAAAUACA